CGAGACUGGAUCGGCUGCUUUGGAGUAUAAGCUGGAGAUGCUAUGAGUUACUGUCAUGCGCCAUGCACCGGCCUCUGGUGAAGAGGAGCAAAUGCUUAUCUCACACAGGAUAGAGAGACUCAGAGAGACGAAAUACCGUCCCAGGUCCCUCAACAACCGUGUCUGCCAUGGAAGCCCCACAGGAAUGACUGCUGUCUCCUGUAAGCCUUGAACUUAACAUGCCGCUUGCUACUUCUGCUUCCUGCCUCCUUGGUUUGGGGAAGGCCUAGAAGCAGAGCGCUGAAACUCAGAUCACGUUGGCUCUGGACUCUUCCUGGAUGUCUCUGGAUGUAAGCUGGUGACUCACAUCCCUCUGCUGCCCAGUGGCGUGGAAGAGCUUACCCUGAGGAAAGGAACGAGCCUGUGCUACUUGGCUCUGGCUUAACUCCUCGGCUCCAUCCCCAGGAGAGCUCACCUGGCCCCCUCCCAUCAAUCUAGCUGAGUUACAAGUUUAAACCGAAGUGACAUUCUAGAAGCAAUAAUUGGCUUAAUAUUCUCAAGAAGCAGAGGAUGGUAAUUUCCUCAGGGACCACAAAAGCAUAAUGCAGUUCUGAGGUCCCAGAAAGGAAUGGGUGGAAUGGGCUUGAAGUCUGUAUCGCCAUCCGCAAACACAGAGCCAUCCAUAUCCCUGUGGCAGCACUCACCUUCCGCGCGGAAGGCUAGCUUCCCACUAUUAUUUUAGCUGACAUCCUCCUUUCCAACUUUAAGCAGUGUUCUUUAAGCAUCUCUAAACUUUUGCUAUUCCUCCCCGAAACCGCGCUAUGAAUUUGCUUGUCACCAUAAGCCGUACACAAAGAGAGACACAUACUGCAAGCACAAAGAUAUCAGGAAGUGGUUUUCCUAGCAACAGUAAUCAUCAGAAAGAUCCCAGAACAUCCUCUCUAUUCAUACAGCAUUUCGUGUUUUGAAUAGUGCUGACAGGUGAAGUGGAUUCACGGUAUUUAA
rnacentral:lncRNA from 1 species